ACCGUUUGCUUUUGGGUAAGUGGUAGAAUGCUCGCCUGCCACGCGGGCGCCCCGGGUUCGAUUCCCGGCCGAUGGUU